rnacentral:rRNA from 1 species
UAACCUACGGGAGGCAGCAGUGGGGAAUAUUGCACAAUGGGGGAAACCCUGAUGCAGCGACGCCGCGUGAGCGAUGAAGUAUUUCGGUAUGUAAAGCUCUAUCAGCAGGGAAGAAAAUGACGGUACCUGACUAAGAAGCUCCGGCUAAAUACGUGCCAGCAGCCGCGGUAAUACGUAUGGAGCAAGCGUUAUCCGGAUUUACUGGGUGUAAAGGGAGCGUAGGCGGCUCUGUAAGUCUGAUGUGAAAAUUUGGGGCUCAACCCCAAACGUGCAUUGGAAACUGCAGGGCUUGAGUGCCGGAGAGG